ensembl:scaRNA small Cajal body-specific RNA 3
ACUGGAAGCUGAAUGGACCUCCAGUGCAGGCAAUUGAAAUGUCUUUUGCCUGUUUUUCCAGGCUUCCUAGAGUAAAAGUGAAGGUCUCUGUCUGGUUUAGAACAGUCAACUGAUCCAGAUCGUUCCCCUUUGCACAUU